CGGGGCGUAGCGCAGUUGGUAGCGCGCGUGCUUUGGGAGCAUGAGGUCGCAGGUUCGAUCCCUGUCGCCCCGA
rnacentral:tRNA from 1 species